GAUGAACGCUGGCGGCGUGCCUAAUACAUGCAAGUCGAGCGAACGGACGAGAAGCUUGCUUCUCUGAUGUUAGCGGCGGACGGGUGAGUAACACGUGGAUAACCUACCUAUAAGACUGGGAUAACUUCGGGAAACCGGAGCUAAUACCGGAUAAUAUUAUGAACCGCAUGGUUCAAAAGUGAAAGACGGUCUUGCUGUCACUUAUAGAUGGAUCCGCGCUGCAUUAGCUAGUUGGUAAGGUAACGGCUUACCAAGGCAACGAUGCAUAGCCGACCUGAGAGGGUGAUCGGCCACACUGGAACUGAGACACGGUCCAGACUCCUACGGGAGGCAGCAGUAGGGAAUCUUCCGCAAUGGGCGAAAGCCUGACGGAGCAACGCCGCGUGAGUGAUGAAGGUCUGCGGAUCGUAAAACUCUGUUAUUAGGGAAGAACAUAUGUGUAAGUAACUGUGCACAUCUGGACGGUACCUAAUCAGAAAGCCACGGCUAACUACGU
rnacentral:rRNA from 1 species